rnacentral:rRNA from 1 species
UAGGGAAUAUUGCGCAAUGGGGGAAACCCUGACGCAGCGACGCCGCGUGAGUGAUGAAGGCCUUCGGGUCGUAAAGCUCUGUUGCAAGGGAAUAAAAAAAUGAAUGUACCUUGUGAGGAAGGAUCGGCUAACUUCGUG